rnacentral:rRNA from 1 species
AUUGAACGCUGGCGGCAGGCCUAAUACAUGCAAGUCGAGCGGCGCGGCGGACGGGUGAGUAAUGCCUAGGAAUCUGCAUGGUAGUGGGGGAUAACGUCCGGAAACGGGCGCUAAUACCGCAUACUAUCAGAUCAGCCUCGGUGGUAUGUGCUAGUUGGUGGGGUAAAGGCUUACCAAGGCGACGAUCCGUAGCUGGUCUGAGAGGAUGAUCAGUCACACUGGGACUGAGACACGGUCCAGACUCCUACGGGAGGCAGCAGUGGGGAAUAUUGGGCAAUGGGCGAAAGCCUGAUCCAGCCACGCCGCGUGAGUGAAGAAGGUCUUCGGAUUGUAAAGCUCUUUAGGUUGGGAGGCGGUACCAACAGAAUAAGCACCGGCUAACUACGUGCCAGCAGCCGCGGUAAUAC